rnacentral:rRNA from 1 species
AUUGAACGCUGGCGGCAGGCCUAACACAUGCAAGUCGAACGAGUGGCGGACGGGUGAGUAAUGUCUGGGAAACUGCCUGAUGGAGGGGGAUAACUACUGGAAACGGUAGCUAAUACCGCAUACCAUCAGAUGUGCCCAGAUGGGAUUAGCUUGUUGGUGGGGUAACGGCUCACCAAGGCGACGAUCCCUAGCUGGUCUGAGAGGAUGACCAUCCACACUGAAACUGAGACACGGUCCGGACUCAUAGGGGAGGCAGCAGUGGGGAAUAUUGCACAAUGGGCGCAAGACGUAAACAGCCAUGCCUCGUGUAGGAAGAAGGCCUUCGGGUUGUAAAGUACGUUCAGCGGGGAGGCGUUACCCGCAGAAGAAGCACCGGCUAACUCCGGGCCAGCAGCCGAGGUAAUUC